CAGGAUGCCAGGGUCCUGCCUCGGCAGAGAGGCGGUGCCAGAUGCCCCACAGCAGCUGGUGGGAGUGCCCACAGCUGGAGGGCAGGGGAGGAGCCUGGCCUCUGGCUGGUGUUUCCUUCCCAGCUCUCAGGAACUGGAGACUUUGGUUACAGAAGUGAAGGCUGCUCCCUCACAGACUUCCUAGUGUCCGAUGGUACCACAUGGAAGGAUCAGAGUUUUGAAGGACUGGGCCAGAACCCAGAUAGGGCACAAGGCUGCCAGCGCCUGCAUUGAGGGAGCUGUGAUGUGACGGGGGCUCCUGCAGAAGAUGGCCUUCCUUGUACAGAGUCGGAUGGCAGAGAGCUUGCGCCUCUUUGACUCCAUCUGCAACAACAACUGGUUCAUCAACACCUCACUCAUCCUCUUCCUGAACAAGAAGGACCUGCUGGCAGAGAAGAUCCGCCGCAUCCCGCUCACCAUCUGCUUUCCCGAGUACAAGGGCCAGAACACGUACGAGGAGGCCGCUGUCUACAUCCAGCGGCAGUUCGAAGACCUGAACCGCAACAAGGAGACCAAGGAGAUCUACUCCCACUUCACCUGCG
rnacentral:sRNA from 1 species